CGGAUCGUGGAGACACUUUCCUUCAGUUCGGCUGGAUGAGUGACAGGUGCUGCAUGGCUGUCGUCAGCUCGUGUCGUGAGAUGUUGGGUUAAGUCCCGCAACGAGCGCAACCCCCGCCCUUAGUUGCCAGCAUUUAGUUGGGCACUCUAGGGGAACUGCCGGUGACAAGCCGGAGGAAGGCGGGGAUGACGUCAAGUCCUCAUGGCCCUUAUGGGUUGGGCUACACACGUGCUACAAUGGCUACUACAGAGGGCAGCCACUUCGCGAGAAGGAGCUAAUCCCAAAAAGUAGUCUCAGUUCGGAUUGUUCUCUGCAACUCGAGAGCAUGAAGUCGGAAUCGCUAGUAAUCGUGGAUCAGCAUGCCACGGUGAAUACGUUCCCGGGCCUUGUACACACCGCCCGUCACACCAUGGGAGUUGGUUCUACCCGAAGCCGGUGCGCUAACCUUUUAGGAGGCANCCGACCACGGUAGGGUCAGCG
rnacentral:rRNA from 1 species